rnacentral:rRNA from 1 species
UCCAGACUCCUACGGGAGGCAGCAGUGGGGGAUAUUGGACAAUGGGGGGAACCCUGAUCCAGCGACGCCGCGUGAGUGAAGAAGUAUCUCGGUAUGUAAAGCUCUAUCAGCAGGGAAGAAAGAAAUGACGGUACCUGACUAAGAAGCCCCGGCUAACUACGUGCCAGCAGCCACGGUAAUACGUAGGGGGCAAGCGUUAUCCGGAUUUACUGGGUGUAAAGGGAGCGUAGGCGGUUCAGCAAGUCAGAAGUGAAAGCCCGGGGCUCAACUCCGGGACUGCUUUUGAAACUGUUGAACUAGAUUGCAGGAGAGGUAAGUGGAAUUCCUAGUGUAGCGGUGAAAUGCGUAGAUAUUAGGAGGAACACCAGUGGCGAAGGCGGCUUACUGGACUGUAACUGACGUUGAGGCUCGAAAGCGUGGGGAGCAAACAGGAUUAGAUACCCCAGUACG